CCACUUGACCAGACCCGGGAUCAAACCUGGGCUGCCGCAGUCGGAAGCCAGCAACUAACCUCUUGAGCUAUGGCAGUGUCACAUUUCAGGAAAUGAAUGUAAUAAUAGCAUUGUUAAUAACUGAGAUCGUACACUCUGUUGUUCUCAAGAUGGUGAACCAAAUCUGCUGCAUCUUUCUUCUGUCCAGUUUUAGGGAUAAUAAACUGAAUCAGUAGAAUAUCAAACUUCCAUUCAUGUCAGUGUUUUUUUUUAAUAUAAUGAGUACUGUAUUAUAUGGGGUCAGAAAGAAUAAAAUUACGUUUCAGUGCUACAGAGGCAUAUGAGGUCCUCACAGCUUCCUAUCCAAUGGACACCUGAUAUGUUUCCCCAGAGGUAAAGCUGACCAUUUGCCUCCUUUAUAUUCUGUGGCAUGGUUCCUCAGAUUGUGGAUCAUGGCCUACUCAGAAGGGAUUUCCAUGUUCUCAGCAACUAUUUGAAAUAUAUUUGUAUUCAACCACAGUUUUGACAAGUUAUUAAGGUUUAGUAUAGGUGCUUUCAGAAAAAUAUAGUUGCAGCCAAUUUGUUCAUAACUAUACAGCAACAUUUUACACUUGCUGUAGAUGUAGUGAGGCUGUAAAGCUAUUUAGGUUCCUCCUGUCACUGUACAGCCCAAUAGGGACCUGCAUCAAAGUGCCAAAUUGCACUUUCUGUGGAUUGGUUACCUAAUUAUAUAUUUUAGGGGGUUAUGGUAUCAAAGUUUGAGAACACCUGAGUUUCAGUUAUGACAAAGUGAAAAUUAAAGAAAGACCAUUUUGUUGUGAUAUCCAAACAUGCUAGCCUAAAUAUAGUGCUCACAGAGUUCAUUCUCAGCUUCAAGAGCCUAUGUUCAUGAAGGCAAGACAAAUUUGUAUGAAUAAAAUGUUAAAUUGCAGUAUAACUCUCAUAGUCAUGUUAGUGAAUUUCCACAUUUGAUGGAUGUCUAGCCAAACUGUAGCUGCAGUCUACUUAUGCUCUGUUCUCCUAUACACAACAUUUUAUGUAACCUCAGAAAAGCAGCCAGGAAUGUCAUGUGUUUAUCUAGGAGGCCAUGGACUUUGUAUCUCCAUCCAACAGCCAGCAAACUGCUUUGUCUCUGCUUCGCAUAGGACACUGUUCAAGACCUGUAUGUUCAGUCUGUUGGAAUAACUUUGGAUUUUUCAGCAAGAAAGGAGAAUACUUCAUAUCCAACAAUUGCUGAACCAUGCAGUGUACUAUGUAAAAACAGAUGCAAGUGGUUAAGAAACAAACCAAAACGUAUGUUGUCUUCUACAUGCAAAAAUUGUGAUUUUAUGACUGAUAGUGGUGCAUCCAUUCAGUUCUGUAUUGCUGUUAAUAUUAGUGUAAUUUAUUUUGUACGCAGGAAGUUGCCUGCUGUACCAAGACAGUACAUUCCAUUGUGAAACAGUUUGCAACAUGUGUGCGCUGUCCUGAGUAGAGGUUUGUUUCGCAACACAUCGAUGGUAUGACCAUGAAAGGUUGUUGUCAUAUCCAAGAGGGACUGACAGAAGUAUGACCUGGCAGAUUUAGGUGCCUGUUAAUGACAGCACCAUGGUGUCUAUACCUCUCUGGCCAGGUACAAGUCAUACAUUUCAUUCUGCUGAGCAGAUUAACUUUUGAGGUAGAAUGAUGCAUGUCUUCUUAACAGGACAAGCAAACAUGUGUGUGUUCUUGACUGGAGAGGUAAAACAUGUGUUCAUAACUCAAGAGGUAACAUGUUGCAUGUGUUCUUAACUGGAGAGCUAGUGUUCCUAACCUGAGAGCAAACAUGUUAUGUAUGUGUUCUUAACUAGAGAGCUAAAACAUCAUACAUUCAUAACUUAAGAGGUAACAUGUCACAUAUGUGCUUCUUUGCUUUGUGAUGGUUUUACCUUCCUGCCUGUAACAUUCCUUGGCCCUUCAAGUGCUAUUUUAGGGAAGUAUCAUAAAUAGACCAUGCCUGCUGUUUGCACAGUUAGUCUUAAUUUACUUUACAUGGUCAUACCUCAGCGUUGCGUAAGUUUGUAUCAAACACAUCAAACAACAGCUCUGCCUGGCAGAUAAAACCCACUUUUUUUCUUUCAUUUGUAGAUGUUUUUGCUUUGUAUCAUAGUGUUGUAGUAGCCUAAAUUGCAGAGCCAAAACAGCUCAGUCAAUGAAGUGACAGCCAAUGGGGUACACCCUGUUCAGUGGUUACCAGGGGCUUUCUGUGCAGGUGAAGAUAACUCUUGCCUCCACACAGUGCCAUAUGAAUAUGCCCUGACUGCAUGGUUUGUCUUGAAAUAUGAGUAUUCAUUGUAUUGUGUCAUUCAGUGAUAAGUAAUAUCAUGCUGUUAUGUGAUGUCAAAAGUAGUGUUAGGUUAAACAAUCAGUGGAGCCUACAUCAAACAUUUAGACAUGAUUUUGGUUGGUACUAAGCAUUAUGUUGGUUUCUGUUCAAGGCUACAUGAACAUGCAGCCUGCAGAUACUAAUUGGCUGUGCUAGGUUUACAUUUUCUGUGCCAGUAUCCAGUUGAAACUACUGUUGUAGAAUUAAACAUAAUACAGUUCUUGAAUUUUGAAAUAUUUAUGGAUUUACAUACAUUUAUGAAGUUAUCCCUAUUCCCCCCAAGUACAGUUCCAUUUAUUGUGCCUGGAUGUGCAAGUUUCUGGCGAGUUCACAUUCUGAUACCACUUAGUAAAGGGGUACUUCGGUUGGUUAUGCUGCAGCUGUGGACAUACAAGGUUGUAUCAUUUACAGUGCUGAGUUGUAAUGCUGAUGCAGAGAAAAGAAAGUUGUUUUUAGGAUACCACCUAUUCAAAGUAAACUGCAAGGCAGAGUUAUUCAUGGCCAGACACAGGGUAGUGGCCAAUGGAUAUAAAUUUAUGAAAAGGAAAGCUGAUGCAGAAAAUUCAGAAAAGAGUAGCAGAGGCAACAAGGAGUACUGAAGAAGUCUGUUAGAAUAGUGAAAGAAAUGAAAACUGUACCAUCCGAUACAUUGAUUUCAACAUACAGAAGGCAUGUUUAAGCCGUAUUUAUAUGCACUAAUAAAAACCCAUAAGCCCAUGAAUUGCAUCUCUGGCAAUUCUGGCUAAACAUGGUCAAUUAGUCUUGGAGCCACCACAUUAUCACCCAGGACUGGAUCGGAUCAAAUUAAUUUGGGCAGUCAUUAUAAAACUGUGUUGCUGAUAAAAACGUGACACUCAGAAUGUAGACAUUAUUGAGCUUGUAGAUGAGAAAUUUACUUCAGUCAGCAGA